rnacentral:rRNA from 1 species
GACGAGGGGUCCAAGCGUUGUUCGGAAUUAUUGGGCGUAAAGCGGGUGUAGGUGGCUCUUUAAGUCAGAAGUGAAAGCCCCAAGCUUAACUUGGGAAGUGCUUUUGAUACUGGAGAGCUUGAAUGUGGGAGAGGAUCGUGGAAUUCCAGGUGUAGUGGUGAAAUACGUAGAUAUCUGGAGGAACACCGGUGGCGAAGGCGGCGAUCUGGCCCAACAUUGACACUGAGACCCGAAAGCGUGGGGAUCAAACAGG